GGUGCCCUAGCCUCUGCCUCCCGAUCCCUCUUCCCUGCAGCGACGCCAACUACUCACCCGUGCUCUAGCACAGAAGCCGAACUCUAGCGCCUAAUGCCAUCUUACCGGCCGAGGUUUAGCUGUGCCCUAGCUCUGAGCAUUUCUUUCUCCUCAGAGCAUUGGUGAUACGAUAUUGUGAUAGAAAGAUCCUUGAUACAACAGAUCGGCGAUAUUAGAGCAGCAAACAACCCUUCAUUGGCAACAAGAAUGGUUGUGAAUUGAGGACUUUGACGCGAGACGCGUAUCUCGACGUCGUGUUUGAGUCAGAUUGGAC